AUUUACUUGCUUCAUCCGAAUCGAUCUUGAAGCCGUUUUGUCUGGUUUUUCUUUUGAAACGAUGCGGAACAUGAAACUGUUGGUGAUCUUCCAGGUGAUUUCUUAUACCCUGUUGGUAGAAUCAAAUCCCGAUUGCGUUGGCAACCCCAUUGGCACGGGAGAUUGUAGAAGGAUGACCGUCGUUUACUACUACGUCAGUGGGACGAACCGAUGUGAAAGGACCAAAUUAAGAUGCAUCGUAUUUGGUUCAAAUAACUAUCGGACGAUUGAACUUUGUGAGAGAGUCUGCAAGAAACGGAUUACUCUUCAUGAACUAGACCUGGGCUCAAUUCUAAAAGUUGGAACGAUUAAUUAAUUUAUUUGAAAUUUACGAUCAAUCAUUGAUUACACAUUUAAAUAAAUAAUUAAUCAUUUUCUUGCAGUGAUUCACGGCUAUGCUUUAGGCACUAAAAAUCUUAGAAUAUUCGUAGAUAAAUACAUCUUUAUAUGCAUAUGUAUAUGUACAUAUACUAGUAUGCUCUGCUUGGCUUGUCACCAGCGUCUUUAGGUCGACGGGCACUCAUAAAUAUUUCAACUUGUCACAGCGCACAUGUAUGAGUACUUUUAUCCACGGUUCGUUCUCGUAGAGUACCAGGGUAUAUUGUGUUCAAUGAAAUGUAUGCAACAUACAGAGGCAAGC